ACACAUGCAGUCGACGGUGAAGCAGAGCUUGCUCUGUGGAUCAGUGGCGAACGGGUGAGUAACACGUGAGCAAUCUGCCCCUGACUCUGGGAUAAGCGCUGGAAACGGCGUCUAAUACCGGAUACGAGCUGCGAAGGCAUCUUCAGCAGCUGGAAAGAAUUUCGGUCAGGGAUGAGCUCGCGGCCUAUCAGCUUGUUGGUGAGGUAACGGCUCACCAAGGCGUCGACGGGUAGCCGGCCUGAGAGGGUGACCGGCCACACUGGGACUGAGACACGGCCCAGACUCCUACGGGAGGCAGCAGUGGGGAAUAUUGCACAAUGGGCGAAAGCCUGAUGCAGCAACGCCGCGUGAGGGACGACGGCCUUCGGGUUGUAAACCUCUUUUAGCAGGAAAGAAGCGAAAGUGACGGUACCUGCAGAAAAAGCGCCGGCUAACUACGUGCCAGCAGCCGCGGUAAUACGUAGGGCGCAAGCGUUAUCCGGAAUUAUUGGGCGUAAAGAGCUCGUAGGCGGUCUGUCGCGUCUGCUGUGAAAACCCGAGGCUCAACCUCGGGCCUGCAGUGGGUACGGGCAGACUAGAGUGCGGUAGGGGAGAUUGGAAUUCCUGGUGUAGCGGUGGAAUGCGCAGAUAUCAGGAGGAACACCGAUGGCGAAGGCAGAUCUCUGGGCCGUAACUGACGCUGAGGAGCGAAAGGGUGGGGAGCAAACAGGCUUAGAUACCCUGGUAGUCCACCCCGUAAACGUUGGGAACUAGUUGUGGGGUCCAUUCCACGGAUUCCGUGACGCAGCUAACGCAUUAAGUUCCCCGCCUGGGGAGUACGGCCGCAAGGCUAAAACUCAAAGGAAUUUGACGGGGACCCGCACAAGCGGCGGAGCAUGCGGAUUAAUUCGAUGCAACGCGAAGAAC
rnacentral:rRNA from 1 species